CUGGGUAAAUCUCACCAUUGACAUUUUAUGUUCUCGUUUUUGGCCUGGAAAAAUAUCUGUUAGGAAAAAAGAACUAGUGAAUAUACUGAAUCAUUAACUAUGUUUUUGGGUUUUGUGUCUGUGAUACUGUUUUAUUCCCUAAAAGAUGUCUAGACUGUGAUUUUUAAUUAUUUGCCUACUACACUUCAACUCUAUUCUUUUCUAUGGUGGCUGAUUUCCUCAGUAACACUCAGUAUUUACACUAUUGUAAAUAAACGUGUAAAUUAUUAUUUACAGUGUAAAUAAACUAACACUGGAGAUGUCCAGUGUUAGUUUGCUACAGAAAUCAUUUGAAACAUGUUUCGUUUUCCUCAUCUACUCAGGUAUUGAAAUACACACCUCAGAUGACUUUCAUUUCCUCAAAAGUUUUUACAUUUGCCUUUUUCUCCUUUCUCGGAGGAGGUUAUUUUCCUCUUUGUAAAGUCAACCCCUUCAUGAAUGGUUAUAUCCCCUGUUAUCUUCUUUUAGCCUUUUCACUUCCCUCUAAAAAGACAACCAUUCUAAUGUGCUAAAUUUGUAUCUCUUUGUUUGCCUUGUGAAUUUUUGACAUAUGGCAUUUUAUGACAUAAUCUCACUUUUUCUUAUUCUUUUCAUUUUAGUGCUGCUUGUUGCUGAUGUUUCUGCCCAAAUACCAUGAAAAUGUGGAGAAGAAAGAAAGAACACUCAGAUGUGCCUGGAGACUUUCUUUUUAUUUUUAAACAUGUACAUCCUGAAAUUAUGUUAGACUUUCUGGAAUCACCUUCCAGGAUUAAGCUGAUGUAUCAAGCUGGCCUUUUUCAGACAUACUUGCAACCAGAGUCAUUGAUUUUGAAGGCAGUGACCAAGCCAAGCAAUGUGACGUUACAGCUACAAAGCAGAACAGAGAUGUCUAGGCUACAGACACAGCCUGACGCUUUGUGCUGAUUGGUAAGGUGCUCCAGCCAGCUGGAAGCAAAUAUUUCUCAGAAGCAGUUUCCUGCUCUCCUCGCCAUGCCUACUGUGCCCAACAUGGCUCCAGCUGGGCCACAGAAGACUUCGUCAUGAAAGACAGCAUUUCCUUAUGUAAAUCCCUAACUUCGUAUGCACUCUUUUCAAUAAAAGCAUAUUUUUCAUUACUUUCCUGACUGUACUCCCUUCUUUGCUGGCUCCACAGUUACAAUUUCUGCACCUUUUCCAUGACUUCUGGAAUCUGUGUCUGUUGCUGCAAGUAUGCAUUCCAUAGGUAUUAAUAAAUCCAUUUACUUUUAUGAAUUCUGGGAAGCUUAAAUCAUAUUACAUUCUAAUGUAUUUUUAACACAAGCACUUCUCCAUAAGUUCCUUGAGGUCAGAAAUAGUCCCUUAGUCAGCCUCUGCCUUCUGUAGUUCCUGGUCCAUCAAAGUGCAGAGGAAACAUUCACAGAUACAUAGAUAACUCUCAUUCAAUGCUCUAAUCUUUCCUUUAUCUUGUUUCAUUGAAUAGUUCUCUUUCAUGGUUCUUUUCUAGUUAAUUUAUUAGUAUACUCCUCUAAUUCUAUUUGCUUACUUUCAACCAAUUCUUUCAUUGCCUAUAAACACAUUUUUAGACAAUUUAUAGACAUAAUCAGUAAUAGGAGUCCACAUUUUAUCACUGCAAGAUUUUAGAAAAUUACUUCUUAAAUUACUUUGUGACCAAGCUUUUAUAAAAUUUGCCCUUAGACAGUUAUCCAGAAAUCCAUACUGCUUUCUUAUUCAAAGUAGUAAAACUUAAUAAUUUUACCAUAUUUAUAUAUAUGCUAUAAUUUUACAUUUUAAAUAGGUAAAGGCAGGAAGAUACACAAAUUUUGAAUGUGCAAAAUCUUCCUUCCAUAACCGAACCAGGAAUAGAACAUAAGUCAGUUUUAUUCCUCACUUGGGAAAGCUAAUAUCGCUUUCUCUAUAUCCAGUUUUGUUAUAUUCAGUAGAAUAAAUAAUAAGGAAGUGACUUUAUUUGUAAAGGAGAAUGGUCCAGAAAACCUUGAAUAGAAAUUUCAAAUAACAUGGUAGUUACAAGCUGAGUGACUUAUUUGUCAUAGAAUCAAUAAAGCUAUUUGUGAGAGAUGAUGGCAGAAAACUAGACAAAAAUUGUAUAAUAUUGCAAUAGAAAUACACCUGGAAAUGCCAAGAAAUGAAUUUGAAACCUAUUUCAUUGCUUGAAUGGAGUCUGUGUUCUGAAUGAUAAGACUAUCCACUGGGGAUUUUCCAUCUGAAUGCUCUUUUGUAAGUUAAGUCACAAGAACAUCACGUGAAACUGCCCACUGGAGAUUAUGCUGUGUUCUGUGUGUCUUCCGAAACAGACCACAGGCUUGGAAUUAGUGAAGUAAUUGAUGAAUAUAAAACUUCAGCAUGACACAUAAUUUAAUUUUCAAAGGUUGAAACAAAACCUUAGCUUUUCAGAAAUGUGCUGCUAUCUUAACCGGCAUUCCUUCUUAUAUCACAGAGCAACUGCAGAUUGAGAAGAGAUUAUUUUCCUUCAAAUUAAAUAAUUUCUCGAAGCUGUUUUCUGAAAGAUCCUCUUUUCUGCCAGUCAUUU
rnacentral:lncRNA from 1 species